UCCAGGCUGUACAAUCCCAGCUCCCCCAGCCAUUCCUCGUAAGUCCCAUGCUCCAGAAAUGCCAUGGUGUCAAUAAUGCCAUGAGAAACAUUAUAUCCGUUGAACAGUGUUUAGGAAUGUACUUGAGUCUGUCACUUGAAUUUGUGUUAAGUGUGAAGAAGGUAAAGCUGUAAAUCAAAAAUUGCUCCUGUCUAGUCCUUCUAAUUCACUUUUAUUUUCAGUGCUAUUUUUAAAUAUUUUACAUUGGUGCUGAUAAGGAAUAUUUCAAUGAUCCACAGAAGGAUGAAGAUAAAGAAAAGGCAGAAGAGGAGAAAAAAGUCUCCUACGUAAGAGACUUGUAGGAAGAAAAAUCCUAUGAUGCUCUAUAGAAAGGCUGCCUCCACAGUGUCUUAGUUUCAGCUGGGAUGGUUUUCUUUGGAGUGCAUGGUAUGAUGCUAUGUUUUGGUUCUAGCAGAAGAAACAAUGCUGAUAACACAUCAAUGUUUAUAGAUUCAGCUAAGCAGUGCUGUACAGAGCCAAGACCACUCCCAGAGAAGGGCCCAAAGAGCUAGGAGGGAACAGAAUCAGGGCAGCUGACAUAAACUGGCCAAAGGGAUAUUCCAUACCGUAUGGCAUAAAGAGGAAGGAGUUCUGAAGAGGGUGUGAGUUCCUCUGGCUCUCUUCUGCUGCUCAGGGGGCUAGCAGGGCAUCACUUACGGCGUGGUGAGCAAUUUCUUGUGCAUCACUUGUUAUAUACAUAUAUACAUAUAUGUAUUUGUCAUAAUUAUUAUCCUUUUCUUUUUCUCUAUCUUAAUACAUAGUUUUAUCCAACCCACAAGUUCUACUUCGUUUUCUUUUUUUUUUUCAGUUCUCUACCCUAUCCCUCUGGGAAGAGGGGGAGUGAGAGACGACUGUGUGGUGCUCAGCCACCAGCUGGGUUAAGCUGGUUACCUCACUUGAACUUGUCUCCUUUUCUUCCAGAGACCCUGCAGGUGAUGAGAGGUUUGAAGGAAUGUACCCUGACAUUCAAAUAUUCACUUCAGAAAAGCUCACGCUGGUUGGGAGGCUUUUAGAAGGACAGUUGCAGAAACCAGCUCUGAUGAAACUGCACGCAAAUUGAGAAAGGAGCACAUCAAAGCCAGUCUGGCAUAAGGGUUAAUCUUUCUGACCUCUUCAUUCAGAGUUUGGUGCCUUCCUCAGGAAGAAACUAUUGGUUGGUUGUUCUUGCUGCUGCUUGUUAGGAAACAAGGAAAUGUUUACACCAAAUGUACAGCUGGAAGGAUCUACUCUGACAGAAUGACAAAUUAUUUUGUGCUUUCUCUAUGAACACAGAAUCAUAUAUUGCUUGGUUGCUUUGAAGGAAAGCUACUAUACCUGUGCAUUCUGUGGAAAUGCAAAGAAGUAGAAGGAAAAACACAGGAGAGCCUGAGGACAGGUUUUCCUCAAUCUGUUAACCUUCUGAUUCUCUUACUAAUACUCUUUCAAAGACAGAAGAUCAGACGUUCUGCAGAAGAAAAUAAAGUGACAGGAUACCAACAAAAAUGUGGGUCUUCAACGGUAGUAGCAAGGAGUGAUCUACAGUUACAUGAUACAGUCAUUAAAAUACAAAAAAUAUUACAAAAAAUGCAUUUGGAAAUUAGUUAUUAUCUUUUCCAUGUGCUGAUACAGUAACACAUAAGGAGAGAUGCAGCACUACUCAUAAAAAAUGUGGUUAAUUACCUAACUCUCUUUGACCUCAGUUUAUUUUAGGUUAUCCAGAUGGAAAAAUUCUCCCUGUUUCCAACAAUAUUCCCAUCUGGAAUUAACGGGAUUAUUUCGCUACUUAGGUUUUGGAUACAUCAGAGAUUUCUCAGAGAAUCUUAGCCAUAAGCAAUGCCUGGCUUAUUCUCAGCUCGAGUUUAGACCACUCUGACUUUGUAUUUGAUUGUGCUGUCAGAUAAAAAGUUGCAGUGAAUCAUAA